AAUGUAUUUUCUCAAAUGUUGGAAGUGUUAUGGGAGUGACUUGAAGUCAUGCCAUAUUUUUGUAUUACUUCGGCAUGAUAACGUUUGGAUGUUUACGUCAUGUUAAGUAAAGAAGACGUUAAUUGAAAUGACUUGUUCUAAUAAAGGUUACAUUUUUUGUUAGAAAGAAAGAAGUUUGGUAUUUGAAAAAGAAAAAAAAAACUAUCAUAUGAUAAAAAAAAUAUAUUACGUUUUUCGGUCUAAACUGAUUUUAUUAAACGUGUUGAAUAGAAAUGAAAAGAGCUUGGGAAAGUCUUACAUUUCAAUAUCUUAUUCUCUUGAGCGAUAUAUUUAUGUUCUUUAUUUAUUCAAAUAAACCACUUUCUUGUUUUUUCUACCACCAGAAUAACAAAUGCCUUUUAACUCCUUUGACACAAAGAGCCUCAAAGUGCCUAAAGAUACCAGGUUUGUCAUCACGGUCAAGUGGGCUCAUUGCAAAUGUUUGUUCAGAUAUUUAGUGUAACUUGAAGUGCUACAUACAUGCUAUCGGUGAUUGUUACAAAGAGGACAGGCUUUUCAACAUUGAUCCCAAGGUCAUUAAAGUAGUUGGCAGAGCAACAUGUGACAACAUGCAAGGCACGGCAUCACCUCUCAACCUAUGUCCCGUUAAUAAUCAGACAUGUGUAGAUGAAUUUAACAGCGCUUGGACAGAAGCUAACGCGCAUCUUAUGAGCGGGGACUACACCGAAUUUAAAAGAAGCCUAUGCCAGACUUCAAAAGACUUUAGAGCGUGUGUAGACGUUACAGUGACAAACACUUGCACAUCUUCCAUAGCAGAACAAGCAAGGAGCAUGUAUCAGGCUGGGUAUAGCUAUGCCGCCUGUGGACCUCAAGACCACGCCUAUUUUACCAAAUAUGGGGGAGAUGUGAACUGUAUUACAUCCGCAAACACACGAUAGAUGACAUCUUUUAUUGAACUCAUGUUAUUCACAGUGAUGUUGAUGUUGUGGCUAUAACUUACACUGCUAAAGUUUUUGAUAUUUCACAUUCAAUUUGUUAUAAGCAAUGAUGUUUUUCCCAGACUUUUAAGUACAGGCAAUUCUCACAUAGAAACUUCCUUUUUGGACUGGAUUCAAGCAUGUAAUAACGGAAGAAAAAUAUUACACUGUUAACUAGGCGAUUUACGUAUUCUUUUUAUUUUCCAAAUGCUAUUCAAGAGCAGAACUAUUUCUUCCCAAGCAACAGUUUACAAACAAAAAUAAAAAAAUCGGGAAUCAAAACCUUGUUUUUAUAUUUCAAAAAUAUGUUCUAAUUUGUAACAUGAAAGAUGCAUACCUUUAUAACACUAUAUAGCUGAAAAUCCAAUGCACGGAGCCUCCCUGGCUAUGCUCUAAAGAACAGCGAAUAUAGUGCAACUUUUGAAAUUGCCGCUACACCAACGUUCAUAUGAAAUAUUUUCCGGUAUGUUAUUAUUUGCAUUUUAUCUCACAAAAUUAAUACUAAUUUUGGGCGCAGGCAAUAACAUGCCCGGCCAAAUCAACUUAAAAUCAACUUCGAAUAUCAAAGAUAUUGGAUAUAUAAUCAUAGCUGCUUACUGUAAUAUCAUUCAAAUCUUUGCUACAUUAUCGGUAAAGAGUUAUGGUACCGGGAAUCCCGAAAUCAUAAAAUAAACGAUACAUUAAAUUUUAUUCCCAUGUGACUUAAUGGCAGGAUGAUAUACGUUUUAGUGCAUAAAACGUCUGCAGGAACCCGAUGAAUUGUUGAUGACCUGCACUAAAGUUAGGCUUAAACUCAUACAUCAAAGAACACUGAACCAUACACAAAUGCCAUAAGUCUGAAAUUAUUUUGUUUUCAAAGGUAACACGUGUCUCUCAAGCAGGGAGUAGUUAACAAAAUGCAGAAAGGUCGUUCAAUGAUUGAUGAACAGAGCACGGUUUUGUGCCGUGAUACGGCUGUAAAACGUCUCCCCGUACUUUGAUUCAGUGUUGUUAUAUUUUCUGGUCCUUUUGGAUCAUAGAGUCCAUUCAAUAGAUGUAAAACAGAAUUCUGUUUAACUCUGUGCUAGGGGGGCGUGGGAGGUGUUGUAUAUUUCAUUAUCUCUCAGGAACAGACUCAUGGUUGCAUGCUUCUUUUUACAGAUUUUAUUAUUUAUAUACGUUCUAUAUAUGAUGAAAACGGUGCAAGCCUGAAUACAAAUUCACAAAGCGUUUUACGCAAUGGUAAUCGUAUGAUCUUUGUCAUAUACGCAAUUGGUUUAUAUACAUUUAUAACUUUCUACAAUAUCGAGUUGUACUUGUUAUAAUACUGAUAAUAUUAGACUAUAUGCUAAAAAUGCCGUCGCAACAACAACAGCAAAUUUUAAUUGCACGGAAUAUUUCUGGGAUCCCCGGUGAAUUUUGUUUAUAAAUAACAAGCAUAGUCCUAAACCCAUUUCACAAUGAAUGGACAUAACAUAAGUUCAUUUGCUUUUAAUUCUUUUCUACGAAAUGUUCUACUUGUAAUAUCUAUAUUUUGUCUAAUUGAUACUUUAACAUAGUGUGUACAGAGAAGACGGGUUUUUAUAGCGAACGAUGAAAGUAUUUCCACCAAGUCCGGAACUGAGCUCUGGGAAGUAUUAUAUUUGUGGCAUUGACGUUUGUGAAGAGGGGAUGCAGUUUUGUAAUACUGAUGAGAGAAGAUGCCAAUAUUGUACUGACCACCAUCAAGAUUGCUUUACUUAUGUCCAACAACAGAACUGUACUCAGUAUUGCCAAGAUCAAUAAUGGAAAACCCUGACUGACAACUGCACUGUUUGCGAACCUAUAGAAUGUUAAGAUUUACUUGUAUACAAGAAUAUCUGUCCUCUGUCCAGUCAGCCCGCCCGCUUAGCUCAGUAGGUAAGAGCGUUGGUCUACGGAUCGCGGGGUCGCGAGUUCGAUCCUCGGGCGGGGCGUAUGUUCUCCGUGACUAUUUGAUAAACGACAUUGUG
rnacentral:lncRNA from 1 species